ensembl:misc_RNA Metazoa_SRP Metazoan signal recognition particle RNA
GCUGGGCAUGGUGGUGUGUGCCUAUAGUCCCAGCUACUCUGGAGGCUGAGGUGAGAGAAUCUCUUGAGCCCAGGAGUUCAAAGGUGCAGUGAGUCAUCAUCAGGCCUGUAAAUAGCCACUGCAUUUCAGUCUGGGCAACAUAGCAAGACUCCAUCUCUU